rnacentral:miRNA from 1 species
UUCGUGUGUGUGUGUGUGUGUGUGUGUGUGUGUGUGUGUGUGCGCGCGCGCGUGCGCGCGCGCAUGCGCACACACACGUGCACACAC